rnacentral:rRNA from 1 species
AAGUCGCACGGACUGUUUCGGCAGUUAGUGGCGGACGGGUGAGUAACACGUAGGUGACCUACCCCAAAGUCUGGGACAACUAGGAGAAAUCUUAGCUAAUCCUGGAUGUGAACCUCAGCUGUGGCUGAUGUUUAAAGCUUCGGCGCUUUGGGAUGGGCCUGCGGCGCAUCAGGUAGUUGGUGGGGUAACGGCCCACCAAGCCGACGACGCGUAGCUGGUCUGAGAGGACGACCAGCCACAGGGGUACUGAGACACGGACCCCACUCCUACGGGAGGCAGCAGUUAGGAAUCUUCCGCAAUGGGCGAAAGCCUGACGGAGCGAUACCGCUUGAAGGACGAAGCCCUUCGGGGUGUAAACUUCUGAACUCGGGACGAUAAUGACGGUACCGAGGUAAUAGCACCGGCUAACUCCGUGCCAGCAGCCGCGGUAAUACGGAGGGUGCGAGCGUUAAUCGGAAUUACUGGGCGUAAAGCGUGCGCAGGCGGAUUGUUAAGCAAGACGUGAAAUCCCCGGGCUUAACCUGGGAAUGGCGUUUUGAACUGGCAGUCUAGAGUGCGUCAGAGGGGGGUG